GAGAUGCGCGCCGCACCUGCCCCGUUUCGCGGGGCCGGGGAAGCCCGUUCGAGCAGCGUCGUGUCGCGGUCCGGGACUGUCCUCAGUCCCGGGUCGUCUCGGCGCGGUUCCGAGCGGUCGCUCCCUCGCGAGGUGCCGCGGGUCAGCGGCUGACGCCAGCCACCUUCCCGACCCGUCUUGAAACACGGACCAAGGAGUCUAACAUGUGCGCGAGCCGCGGGGCAGUACGAAACCCGUAAGGCGAAAUGAAGGUGAACGCCGGCGCGGUCCGGCGGAGGUUGGAUCCCGUCCCGUCGGGGCGGGCGCACUACCGGCCGAUCUUCUCCGCCCUGUCGGCGAGGUCGAGCGAGAGCGUGCAAGUCGGGACCCGAAAGAUGGUGAACUAUGCCUGAGGAGGUUGAAGCCAGAGGAAACUCUGGUGGAGGACCGUAGCGAUUCUGACGUGCAAAUCGAUCGUCAAAUUUGGGUAUAGGGGCGAAAGACUAAUCGAACCGUCUAGUAGCUGGUUCCCUUCGAAGUUUCCCUCAGGAUAGCUGGCGCUCUGUCGCAGUUUUAUCUGGUAAAGCGAAUGAUUAGAGGUCUUGGGGGCGAAACGCCCUCAACCAUAUUCUCAAACUUUAAAUUGGUAAGAAGCCCGACUCGCUCGUUUGGAGCCGGGCAUGGAAUGCGAGUGCCAAGUGGGCCACUCUUGGUAAGCAGGACUGGCGAUGCGGGAUGAACCGAACGCCGGGUUAAGGCGCCCGACGCGACGCUCAUCAGAGCCCACAAAAGGUGUUGGUUGAUAUAGACAGCAGGACGGUGGCCAUGGAAGUCGGAAACCGCUAAGGAGUGUGUAACAACUCACCUGCCGAAUCAAUCAGCCCUGAAAAUGGAUGGCGCUGGAGCGUCGGGCCUAUACCCGGCCGUCGCGGCGGUACGAGCAUCGAGUUGGUGCGCU
rnacentral:ncRNA from 1 species